GAUGGAGCACGCCGCGUGAGUGAAGAAGGAUUUCGGUUCGUAAAACUCUGUUGUAAGGGAAGAACAAGUACAGUAGUAACUGGCUGUACCUUGACGGUACCUUAUUAGAAAGCCACGGCUAACUACGUGCCAGCAGCCGCGGUAAUACGUAGGUGGCAAGCGUUGUCCGGAAUUAUUGGGCGUAAAGCGCGCGCAGGUGGUUUCUUAAGUCUGAUGUGAAAGCCCACGGCUCAACCGUGGAGGGUCAUUGGAAACUGGGAGACUUGAGUGCAGAAGAGGAUAGUGGAAUUCCAAGUGUAGCGGUGAAAUGCGUAGAGAUUUGGAGGAACACCAGUGGCGAAGGCGACUAUCUGGUCUGUAACUGACACUGAGGCGCGAAAGCGUGGGGAGCAAACAGGAUUAGAUACCCUGGUAGUCCACGCCGUAAACGAUGAGUGCUAAGUGUUAGGGGGUUUCCGCCCCUUAGUGCUGCAGCUAACGCAUUAAGCACUCCGCCUGGGGAGUACGGUCGCAAGACUGAAACUCAAAGAAUUUU
rnacentral:rRNA from 1 species